AUAAUUUCAACUAAAAAAACAAAACAAAACAAAAAACAUUGGGAAGGAGGACUGCUGGGAUGAAUAUCCAGGAGAAGAAAAACAGGGGGAUCCUAGGCAUUGUUUCCGAAUCUCAGUAGGGCUGUGAGUUACCUGUCGUGGGCAGCAGAAUCUGAACUGAUGAGGAGGGGCUAGAACAGGGAAGCUGACUGCAGCUCAUCCUAAGAACUUUCUGCUGAAGUUGCCCAAAGAAAGGCAGAGCUGCCCGGUGCUGUGGGGAGCGCCCCGCCGCUGUAGAGUAACAAGGAUGAAGAGAAUAUCUUAAAAGGACUUAGAAAUAAAAGAUGAUCAACCAAGAAUUGGAAGAUUGACAGCUGACUUCUCAGCAACCUCUUCCUGAUGGAGAUUAAUAUCAAUUACUCCUGAAUAGACAAAGCAGAAAAAGGUUUACUCUUAAGCUGCUAAUGCUUAAUCUUCAAGGCUACUCACUUGCUCAAGCCUCUUUCACAUGGUCAUAUGAUUUUUUAAUAUUUGCAAAGAAAGAUAUUUGUAUUUUUUUGUGAUUUCAUUUCUCAUUCCAAAUAAAU
ensembl:lncRNA